rnacentral:rRNA from 1 species
UACGGGGGGGGGCAAGCGUUGUUCGGAAUUACUGGGCGUAAAGGGCUCGUAGGCGGCCAACUAAGUCAGACGUGAAAUCCCACGGCUCAACCGUGGAACUGCUCGGUAUACUGCCUGUCUUGUGCAACCUAGGGGCGAGCGGAACAGAUGGUGGAGCGGUGAAAUGCGUAGAUAUCUGGAGGAACACCGGUGGCGAAGGCGGCAUCCUGGACCAAUUCUGACGCUGAGGAGCGAAAGCCAGGGGAGCAAACGGGG